GGGGGCAUAGCUCAGUUGGGAGAGCAGUAGACUGAAGUACCCAUGUAUUCUAAAGGUCCCGCGUUCGAUCCGCGGUGCCCCCA
rnacentral:tRNA from 1 species